GGUCCCAAGAGCUGUGCCUCCCGUGAUCCCAAUAAGGAAGAAGGAUGCAGAAACUCCUGUGUUUGGUGACUCUGGGUCUUCAGCUGGCUAGGGUGAACAGCCAACAAGGAGAAGCAAGUCCUCAGGUUCUGAGCAUCCGGGAGGGAAACAAUGCCACCAUGAACUGCAGUUACAGAACUGGUAUAACCAACCUGCAGUGGUAUAGACAGGAUUCAGGUAAAGGUCCUGCUCUGGUGAUUUUAAUACGUUCAAAUGAGAGAGAAAAACGCAAUGGAAGACUAACAGUCACCCUGGACACCUCCACCCAAAGAAGCAUCCUGUCCAUCACCGCUUCCCUGGCUGCAGAUGCUGCUACUUACUUCUGUGCUACAGAAGCACAGUGA